rfam:Ovis aries breed Texel chromosome 5, whole genome shotgun sequence.
UCCCUGGUGGCUCAGACGGUAAAGCGUCUGUCUACAAUGCAGGAGACCCAGGUUCGAUCCCUGGGUUGGGAA